rnacentral:rRNA from 1 species
CCUACGGGUGGCAGCAGUGGGGAAUAUUGCACAAUGGGGGAAACCCUGAUGCAGCGACGCCGCGUGAGUGAAGAAGGAAUUCGGUAUGUAAAGCUCUAUCAGUAGGGAAGAAAAUGACGAUACUUGAGUAAGAAGCACCGGCUAACUACGUGCCAGCAGCCGCGGUAAUACGUAGGGGGCAAGCGUUAACCGGAUUUACUGGGUGUAAAGUGAUUGAAGGCGGCUGUGCAAGUCCGGGGUGAAAGGCGGGGGCUUAACCCCGGAACUGCUUUGGAAACUGGACGGCUGGAGUGCUGGAGAGGUAGGUGGAAGUCCUGGUGUAGCGGUGAAAUGCGUAGAUAUGAGGAGGAACACCGGUGGCGAAGGCGGCUUACUGGACUGUGACUGACGUUGAGGCUCGAAAGCGUGGGGAGCAAACAGGAUUAGAUACCCUAGUAGUC